rnacentral:rRNA from 1 species
CAGCCAUAUGGCGCGGGUGAGAGCUUGGGGUACACCGCGGAGUUCCGCCUCAACCCGAUGUGCUUGCGGGAUAAGGAUCUCUGGCUUAUGCGGUGCCCAUUGAUAUGCAAUUGGGCGGUUGAGUUUCAUUUGCCGCAUCGCGUGUAUCGUCAGUUUGGUCUUUUCCAGCCUCACCCGCCGGAUUGGGUGGACACGGAUAAAGCACUUCAUAGGUUGGACAGGAGAAGGCAACGGAAGAUAAAGGACUGGGCCAAGCAUCAUUCUGCGUAUGUUACCCGCUUCCAGCUUUGUGUGGAGCAAGCUCGUAGCACUGCACGCGCCCCGCUUCGUGAGCACAACUCACUUGCUUUUGAUAACUACGUACGAUGGUUUAUUGGAACUACUCGAGUUGAGAUAUGCCCGCCGGCAUAUAAUGAGGAUAUUCUUGAAGAACCCGUAAACUUUGAGGAUCUAGCAAAGGGGAAGUACAACAGAGAUGUCAGGCUAGGGCAAGGAGUGCCUGCUGUUCCGGUCAUUAACUAUGUGCGCACCGAGAUCAAGAAAGCAGCUGAUGAGAGCCAGUCUAUUCUGGAGAAGACACCGGUUGGAACUGGCAAUGAUGAUGGUUCACUACGAGCAUUCCUCAAGCGUCAGGCCAAGAAGUUAAGGCGGUUAUCGAACCUUCUCGGUUGCCGUGAUCCUGAAUAUGAUGAACCAUCUGCCUCUAGGUCUGGUACACCAUCAGACCCCGCACCUCACCAUGAGGGGGACGAUGUGAGUUCCUCAUAUGCUUAUGUGGAUGAUGAGGGU